rnacentral:rRNA from 1 species
AUUGAACGCUGGCGGCAGGCCUAACACAUGCAAGUCGAACGAGUGGCGGACGGGUGAGUAAUGUCUGGGAAACUGCCUGAUGGAGGGGGAUAACUACUGGAAACGGUAGCUAAUACCGCAUACCAUCGGAUGUGCCCAGAUGGGAUUAGCUAGUAGGUGGGGUAAAGGCUCACCUAGGCGACGAUCCCUAGCUGGUCUGAGAGGAUGACGAGGCACGCGGGAACUGAGACACGGUGCAGACUCCUACGGGAAGCAGCAGUGGGGAAUAUGGCACAGUGGGUGCAAGCCUGAUGCAGCGAUGCCGCGUGUAUGAGGAAGGCAUUCGGGUUGUAAAGUACUUUCAGCGGGGAGGCGUUACCCGUAGAAGAAGCACCUGCUAACUCCGUGCCAGCAGCCGCGGUAAUUC